UCUAGCGUGAAGUCAGACAAGUGAACCCGCUGAAUUUAAGCAUAUCAAUA
rnacentral:rRNA from 1 species